UCCUUUGUAUCUCAGUUGGUAAAGAAUCUGUCUGCAAUGCAGGAAGACCCAAGUUCGAUUCCUGGGUCGGGAA
rnacentral:tRNA from 1 species